ACGAAGGGUGCAAGCGUUAAUCGGAAUUACUGGGCGUAAAGCGUGCGUAGGCGGUUGGCUAAGUCGGAUGUGAAAGCCCUGGGCUCAACCCAGGAAGUGCAUUCGAAACUGCCGAGCUGGAGUCCUGGAGAGGAAGGCGGAAUUCUCGGUGUAGAGGUGAAAUUCGUAGAUAUCGAGAGGAACACCGGUGGCGAAGGCGGCCUUCUGGACAGUGACUGACGCUGAGACGCGAAAGCGUGGGGAGCAAACAGGA
rnacentral:rRNA from 1 species